rnacentral:rRNA from 1 species
UACAUGGGGUGCAAACGUUGCUCGGAAUUAUUGGGCGUAAAGCGCACGUAGGCGGUUUGUUAAGUCGGAUGUGAAAUCCCUCGGCUCAACUGAGGAAGUGCAUCCGAAACUGGCAAGCUUGAGUACGAAAGAGGGUCGCGGAAUUCCCGGUGUAGAGGUGAAAUUCGUAGAUAUUGGGAAGAACACCGGUGGCGAAGGCGGCUCUCUGGACCGAGACUGACGCUGAGGCGCGAAAGCGUGGGGAGCAAACAGG